rnacentral:pre_miRNA from 1 species
CAACUACUCCAUCCGUUCCAAAUUACUCGUCACAGAAAUGGAUGUAUCUAGAUGUAUUUUAGUUCUAGAUACAUCCAUUUCUACGAUGAGUAAUUUGGAACGGAGGGAGUAGAUU